GAUUGAACGCUGGCGGCAGGCCUAACACAUGCAAGUCGAGCGGAUGAAGGGAGCUUGCUCCUGGAUUCAGCGGCGGACGGGUGAGUAAUGCCUAGGAAUCUGCCUGGUAGUGGGGGAUAACGUCCGGAAACGGGCGCUAAUACCGCAUACGUCCUGAGGGAGAAAGUGGGGGAUCUUCGGACCUCACGCUAUCAGAUGAGCCUAGGUCGGAUUAGCUAGUUGGUGGGGUAAAGGCCUACCAAGGCGACGAUCCGUAACUGGUCUGAGAGGAUGAUCAGUCACACUGGAACUGAGACACGGUCCAGACUCCUACGGGAGGCAGCAGUGGGGAAUAUUGGACAAUGGGCGAAAGCCUGAUCCAGCCAUGCCGCGUGUGUGAAGAAGGUCUUCGGAUUGUAAAGCACUUUAAGUUGGGAGGAAGGGCAGUAUGUUAAUACCUUGCUGUUUUGACGUUACCAACAGAAUAAGCACCGGCUAACUUCGUG
rnacentral:rRNA from 1 species